UAUAAUAUCUACGUUUAUGCGUAUGCCGAACAAAGUAUGUAUAUAUCUCAAUAAAAGUAAGAACGUACAUUAUAAUGGAAAUGGAAUGGGACGAUGAAAUAUCGGAAGAUGAGGAAGAAAUUCUGGUAUACGUAGAAUUUGAAGGACUUGUUGACGGUAACGUUUUCAGUGAGAAACAAUUACAAUUGGAUAUGAUCGGUAUAGAUACGGAACAUCCCAUAAUGCAAAUCAAUGGGAAGUUUUACGAGGGUUCUUACGAAGACGUUAUUGGUACCUACAUGUUCUUCGCGAAAAAUGACAAUACCAUAGUGGACGAUCCUGUCUUCGAUGUAGCUCCAAAUUUUAAAUACGUCGCCAAAACCAGGAAAUUUUUAAAAAUGCAAAGGAUUUUUAUAAAACCAAGAACAGAAGUUUUAGGCGAUUCUCAAAAUAACCAAUGCAUUCCGAAUUCAGAUACACUGAUGCAAGCAGGGAUACCAUUUCAGUAUCAAGAAGAAGCUCUUUCAUUUUGGAGGACUAUGCGAGAUAGUAGAUUAAAUGCAUUACAUACAUAUCUGGAAAAGCAACGUAUCAGGGAACAAAAAAAGUCUGAAGGCAUAAUAUUAGAAUCCGAGUCUGACGAGGACAAUCCGUUCGCGAUAUAUAAGCACAAGGAUGAAGUCAUCGAUUUAGACAAGUCUGUGAACAUUGAUGCUGAUUCAAAGAAAGAAUUAAGUUACUCUGAUGAUCAAGGUGAUCCAGAGUUAAUACGUCCCGAGGAAAUUAACGAUCAAAAUUCAGGUAGUUCGUCAGGAUAGUCUCCUGUCAAACAGGCAGUGCAAUGGCCAAUGUAACUACUCUCACGAUUAUCCAUGCCAAAUCUCACGGCUUUUACAAGUCCUUCUACUGAAAGAUAUGUCAAACUAUCAGCUCCUACAUGUUUUGCUAAUUUUACAUUAUCUAAUUUAUUAGCAAUUAAUUCUUCUCUUGUUGGUAUGUUAAUCCCCAUGUAACAGGGAUAUUUUAAUGGAGGAGAGGCUAUUCUAAUGUGAACCUUGCAAUAACACAGAUUUCAAAUUUAAACAAAAUCGUGGGAAGGAAAAACUUACUUCCUUUGCUCCUGCAUCACGAAGUAAUUUAAUAAUAGGACCAAUUGUAUUUCCUCUGACAAUGGAAUCAUCUAUAAGAAUUAAUUUCUUUCCUUUCACAUUUUCCGACAAAGCGCCAAAUUUUUUUGCCACGCCAAGUUGUCUGAGUCGAGUACUAGGCUGAAUAAACGUUCGGCCAACAUAUCUAUUUUUACACAGUACUUCCGCAAAAGGUAUUCGAGACUGCAAAUUAAUAAUAUUACUUUGAUAGAAUAAUUGCUAUUUCAUUAUACAAGUUGUAAAAGAUUGUUCUAUCGAUUAUUUUUUCUACACAAAUAUAUUUAUAUACAUUUAUAUACUCUUAGUAUAUCCUAUAGUACAAUCUAUAGUUAAUGUUUUAUAUUACCGUUAAUUUCAAUCAUAAAAUUAAUAAAUUUACCUGUCUAGCAUAACCGUGCGCUGCGGCAGUUCCAGAUUCAGGUACUGAACUAACUAUAUCUGCUUCUACUGGAGAUUCCAAAGCAAGUUCUCGUCCACAUUGCAUACGAACAGAAUAAACCAUUUGCCCUGUUAAACAAGAUAAGAUAAUUUAUUUAAAAUUUU